UUAUAUUUUGUAAAGCGAACAUUUUCGACACAAAAAGUCAGGUUAGGAGUUGCAUCUAGCGAAGGCUCAUAGAAUAGAAAUAGGGGCUUCAGUUUUGGGUGUUUGACUGCGAUAAUUAAGAAAGAAUGUCUUCUGCUGCUGGAAUUGCAUCGAAGUUUCUGCGGCCGAGGCGUCGGCUCCAACUCCAACCCACAGACAUCCAGUCCGCUGCUUUGUGGGGUGUCGCCGCCGGCACCACUGCUCUUUGGCUCAUCCAGCCAUUCGACUGGUUGAAGAAGACAUUUUUAGAAAAACCUGUGGUUGAAGGUUCCUGAUACUGACGCAGGAUCCUACCUGAACAUUGGAUGAUCAUUCUUCACGGUUAAGUGAGCAAACGGAGUAGAUUCCGUAUGAAUAAUGCUUUGUUUCUACAGCUUGUUUGUAGCUCCCUUUGGGGGCCUGCAGUGACAAUAACAUGCUAAUUGAACUUUUCUUUUGCAUAUUACUAUGAACUUUUUUUUGAAGGACAUGUAUAAGAUGAGCAUUAUCUUUCAGCGUUGA